UCUUUGUUCUUUUUCUGGACUGAAAAGGAUGAAGCAAGCAAGAAAAAAAAUAGAGCAUGAGAGAGAGAGAGAGAGAGAGAGAGAGAGAGCUAUGUUGCAUAGCUAGGGGAGAAUCGAGGGGAAACGGGAAGAAACCGAUGCCAUCCGUUUCCGUUUCGCUCCUCAGACUCCCUUCUUCAAGCGAAGUUCGGGAAGUUCUCUCGUCCCUCCAUUGAUGCAACAGAGGAGACCGAAAAUCAUACACCAGAAGGCUUUGACUCAUUAAAAUAGUUUUGGUGAGUUUCCGAUAAGCUUCCGAUUGCGCGAAGGAACCACUUUUUGAUAUCGGGGAUCAGCUUGGAGAACUAGAUAAGAACCUUAGUUAUUUGAUAGAUAUCCUUUUUGUAUAGAAUGAAGUUGAGAAUGUUACGAUCUGAAACUUUUGUCUAGUUGGUUUAGCAAUGUAGCUUUGCUGGAAUCGUGCUUAUAUAAAUAUAUAUGUGAGAGCAUUUGUAGUAGUUGUAUGUUUUUUAGAGUUAUGAAAAGCAGGUUUUAUAUGAAUAGUUUAUGUGAGAACGAAUAUCGAGGAAAUAUAUGGGGAAAUUCAGCCGAAAUUUCGGGUCGUGACAA